rnacentral:lncRNA from 1 species
GUACCCAACUUGCAGUAAACCCUGAGUAAACAUAUGUUAUUACUGCUGUGGUCUUCAUCACCAUUAUAUAGGAUGAGCUUCCCUUGGUUCCUGCUGCCUGGGGUUCCCAGAGCUUUUGAGUUUUUUCUCUCCUGGGCCUAGAUGCAGUCUCUACCCUGUUCCUUUUCUCCUCUUGCUGGAAAUAACAGAAUAACUGCUUGCUUCAGCCUCAUUUCAGGCACCGUCUCCUUGGGGAUGCUCCCUUGUUCCAGUCUGCAAGUUGACUCUUACAUGUCCCUUACUGCCUCAGUUACUGCAAACUGUGUCUCUCCUGUUGUAUAGCAAGAACCCUGUCAUCCUUAACUGCUCUGUGCCCAGUAGAAACUGGACACAUGGUAUCAGUAAGACUCUCAAAGAUUGUUGCCUGCCACUCAAGUUUAAACCUAUUGCUCUGGAACUAAUUACAAUGAAACUGAUUGGCUCUAGCCAAGAAAGGGUCAAGGAGACUUCCUGGAAGUGAGGGUACUGGAGCCAAGCCUUAAAGGGUCUGUGGUGGUUGACCUUUCCAGCAGAGGCAUAGCAUAUUCCAGAAUGUGUUGGCACCAGACAGUAUUGUGUGUCUGUAGGCGGGAAGGUGGUUUGGCCUGGAUCUUGUAGAGUGGUGCAGAAACACAAUUGGGGACCUAUGAGUGCCCCAAGGAGAGGGGUUCCCUUCCAAGUGUGGACAAUUUCCGGAAGGGCUUCAAGGAAGCAGAUGAGCUAGAAUUUGCAACUAGGUCAAAGGGGAGAGAGAGAGGGUUUAUUCUUUCUUUGUUGUUUGUUUUUGUUUUUUAUUGUAAUGGGGAUUGAACCCAGGGCCUUACAUACGGCAAGUUCUCUACCACUGAGCCUGGCCCAGAGAGAG